rnacentral:ncRNA from 2 species
CGAACCGAGGCGGGAGAGUCCCGCGCAGCGGGCGCCGAAGGAGCAACCCUCCCCGGGAAUCUCUCAGGCCCCUGUACCGCCACGGCGAG